rnacentral:rRNA from 1 species
GAUGAACGCUGGCGGCGUGCCUAAUACAUGCAAGUCGAGCGAAUGGAUUAAGAGCUUGCUCUUAUGAAGUUAGCGGCGGACGGGUGAGUAACACGUGGGUAACCUGCCCAUAAGACUGGGAUAACUCCGGGAAACCGGGGCUAAUACCGGAUAACAUUUUGAACCGCAUGGUUCGAAAUUGAAUGGCGGCUUCGGCUGUCGCUUAUGGAUGGACCCGCGUCGCAUUAGCUAGUUGGUGAGGUAACGGCUCACCAAGGAAACGAUGCGUAGCCGACCUGGGAGGGUGAUCGGCCACACUGGGACUGAGACACGGCCCAGACUCCUACGGGAGGAAGCAGUAGGGAAUCUUCCGCAAUGGACGAAAGUCUGACGGAGCAACGCCGCGUGAGUGAUGAAGGCUUUCGGGUCGUAAAACUCUGUUGUUAGGGAAGAACAAGUGCUAGUUGAAUAAGCUGGCACCUUGACGGUACCUAACCAGAAAGCCACGGCUAACUACGUGCCAGCCGCCGCCGUAA